rnacentral:miRNA from 1 species
ACCUCGCCCGCAAAGACCCAGC